UACGUAGGUGGCGAGCGUUUGUUCGGAGUUACUGGGCGUAAAGGGUGUGUAGGCGGUUGUUUAAGUUUGGUGUGAAAUCUCCCGGCUCAACUGGGAGGGUGCGCCGAAUACUGAAUGACUAGAGUGCGGGAGAGGAAAGUGGAAUUCCUGGUGUAGCGGUGAAAUGCGUAGAUAUCAGGAGGAACACCGGUGGUGUAGACGGCUUUCUGGACCGUAACUGACGCUGAGACACGAAAGCGUGGGUAGCAAACAGG
rnacentral:rRNA from 1 species